CAGAGAAUAGUUUAUUUAAAAUAUUAGUUUUGGGGAUUAAUGAUAGGGGUGUCCUUUUCUCUGA
rnacentral:tRNA from 1 species